GACGUAGGGCGCGAGCGUUGUCCGGAUUUAUUGGGCGUAAAGAGCUCGUAGGCGGCUUGUUGCGUCAGCUGUGAAAACCCGCAGCUCAACUGUGGGCUUGCAGCUGAUACGGGCAGGCUUGAGUUCGGUAGGGGAGACUGGAAUUCCUGGUGUAGCGGUGAAAUGCGCAGAUAUCAGGAGGAACACCGGUGGCGAAGGCGGGUCUCUGGGCCACUACUGACGCUGAGACGCGAAAGCGUGGGGAGCGAACAGG
rnacentral:rRNA from 1 species